rnacentral:tRNA from 1 species
GGUGAUGUAGCUCAGUGGGUAGAGGACUGAACUGGCACACCAGAGGACCUGGGUUUGACUCCCAGNCCUACCU